CCUACGGGUGGCAGCAGUGAGGAAUAUUGGUCAAUGGCCGAGAGGCUGAACCAGCCAAGUAGCGUGCAGGAUGACGGCCCUACGGGUUGUAAACUGCUUUUAUACGGGAAUAACGCGCCUUACGUGUAGGGCUUUGCAUGUACCGUAUGAAUAAGGACCGGCUAAUUCCGUGCCAGCAGCCGCGGUAAUACGGAAGGUCCGGGCGUUAUCCGGAUUUAUUGGGUUUAAAGGGAGCGUAGGCCGCAUGUCAAGCGUGCUGUGAAAUGUCCGGGCUCAACCCGGGCCUUGCAGCGCGAACUGGCGUGCUUGAGUCCGCGGAAAGCAGGCGGAAUUCGUCGUGUAGCGGUGAAAUGCUUAGAUAUGACGAAGAACCCCGAUUGCGAAGGCAGCUUGCUGCAGCGGAACUGACGCUGAUGCUCGAAAGCGCGGGUAUCGAACAGGAUUAGAUACCCCAGUAGUC
rnacentral:rRNA from 1 species